AUCCCAAGUAGUACGGAACCCGUGAAAUUCUGUGCGAAUCUGCGAGGACCACCUCGUAAGCCUAAAUACUACCUAUUGACCGAUAGCGGACAAGUACCGUGAGGGAAAGGUGAAAAGUACCCCGGGAGGGGAGUGAAAUAGUACCUGAAACCGUGUGCUUACAAACCGUUGGAGCCAGCUUGUUCUGGUGACAGCGUGCCUUUUGAAGAAUGAUCCUGAGAGUUAGCGAUCUGUGGCGAGCUUAACCCGAGAGGGGUAGGCGUAGCGAAAGCGAGUCUGAAUAGGGCGAUUCAGUCGCAGGUCCUAGACCCGAAGCGAGGUGAUCUAUCCAUGGCCAGGUUGAAGCGACGGUAAGACGUCGUGGAGGACCGAACCCACUUCAGUUGAAAAUGGAGGGGAUGAGCUGUGGAUAGGGGUGAAAGGCCAAUCAAACCUCGUGAUAGCUGGUUCUCUCCGAAAUGCAUUUAGGUGCAGCGUCUUGUGUUUCUCUCUGGAGGUAGAGCUACUGGAUGGCCGAUGGGCCCUAAAAGGUUACUGACGUCAGCCAAACUCCGAAUGCCAGAGAGUCAGAGCAAGGCAGUGAGACUGCGGGGGAUAAGCUUCGUAGUCGAAAGGGAAACAGCCCAGACCACCAACUAAGGACCCCAAGCGUUUGCUAAGUGGAAAAGGAUGUGGAGUUGCACAGACAACCAGGAUGUUGGCUUAGAAGCAGCCACCAUUAAAAGAGUGCGUAAUAGCUCACUGGUCAAGUGAUUCCGCGCCGACAAUAUAACGGGGCUCAAGCAGACCUCCGAAGUUGUGGCAUUUGUACAUUGCCCGGCCGUAAGGUCCAGGCGUACAGAUGGGUAGGAGAGCGUCGUGUGGCGAGCGAAGCGGCGGUGUGAACCAGCCGUGGAUGCCACACGAGUGAGAAUUCAGGAAUGAGUAGCGAAAUGCGGGUGAGAAACCCGCACUCCGAAAGACUAAGGGUUCCAGGGCCAGGCUAAUCCGCCCUGGGUAAGUCGGGACCUAAGACGAGGCCGACAGGCGUAGUCGAUGGACAACGGGUUGAUAUUCCCGUACCGGCGAAGAACCGACCAAACUAACCCAAUAAUGCUAAGUGCGCGAAUUCCAGUCUGAAGCCUUCGGGUGGUGGAUUGGAGCUAGUUCACGACCCUAAAUUGGUGCGGUUAACGUAUUAACAGGUGUGACGCAGGAAGGUAGCCUCCGCGGGGCGAUGGUUGUCCCCGUUUAAGGAUGUAGGGCGAGAGAUAGGCAAAUCCGUCUCUCACAUAGCCUGAGAUCUGAUGAUGAGUCCUUACGGACGAAGUGGGUGAUCCUAAGCUGCCAAGAAAAGCAUCGACGUGAGGUUCUAGCUGCCCGUACCCCAAACCGACUCAGGUAGUCAGGUAGAGAAUACUAAGGAGAUCGAGAGAAUCGUGGUUAAGGAACUCGGCAAAAUGGCCCCGUAACUUCGGGAGAAGGGGCGCCUGAGGCGUGUAUGGAUUUACUCCAGAAGCGCUGUAUGGCCGCAGAGACCAGUGAGUAGCGACUGUUUAUCAAAAACACAGGUCCGUGCGAAGUCGCAAGACGAUGUAUACGGACUGACGCCUGCCCGGUGCUGGAAGGUUAAGAGGACGGGUUAGCAAUUUAUUGCAAAGCUCGGAAUUUAAGCCCCAGUAAACGGCGGUGGUAACUAUAACCAUCCUAAGGUAGCGAAAUUCCUUGUCGGGUAAGUUCCGACCUGCACGAAUGGCGUAACGACUUCUCAACUGUCUCAACCACGAACUCGGCGAAAUUGCACUAUGAGUGAAGAUGCUCAUUACGCGCAGAAGGACGAAAAGACCCCGUGACCUUUACUAUAGCUUGGUAUUGGUGUUCGGUGCUGCUUGUGUAGGAUAGGUGGGAGACUAUGAAGCGAGAACGCUAGUUCUCGUGGAGUCAUUGUUGAAAUACCACUCUUGUAGCCCUGGAUAUCUAACCACGAACCGUAAUCCGGUUCUGGAACAGUGCCUGGUGGGUAGUUUAACUGGGGCGGUUGCCUCCUAAAAAGUAACGGAGGCGCCCAAAGGUUCCCUCAGCCUGGUUGGUAAUCAGGUGUCGAGUGUAAGUGCACAAGGGAGCUUGACUGUGAGACUGACAAGUCGAGCAGGGACGAAAGUCGGGACUAGUGAUCCGGCAGUGGCUUGUGGAAGCGCUGUCGCUCAACGGAUAAAAGGUACCUCGGGGAUAACAGGCUUAUCUUGCCCAAGAGUCCAUAUCGACGGCAAGGUUUGGCACCUCGAUGUCGGCUCGUCGCAUCCUGGGGCUGUAGUCGGUCCCAAGGGUUGGGCUGUUCGCCCAUUAAAGCGGCACGCGAGCUGGGUUCAGAACGUCGUGAGACAGUUCGGUCUCUAUCCUCUGCGCGCGUAGGAAAUUUGAGAAGACCUGACCCUAGUACGAGAGGACCGGGUUGGACAAACC
rnacentral:rRNA from 1 species